rnacentral:rRNA from 1 species
UCAAGCUACUAAGGGCUGCUGAUGGAUGCCUAGGCAUCAAAAGGCGAGGAAGGACGUGACAGACUGCGAUAAGCUUCGGGGAAUAGUUGAAUAUAUAGUGAUCCGAAGAUUUCCGAAUGGGGGAACCCGGUAAGAGUAAUAUUUUAUCAUCUUUAUCUGAAUAAAUAGGGUAAAGAAGCGAGACCCGCUGAAGUGACACAUCUCAGUAAGCGGAGGAGAAGAAAUCUAGAAGAGAUUCCCUAAGUAGCGGCGAGCGAAAUGGGAAGAGCCCAAACCGGAAAUUUAUUUUCGGGGUUGUAGGACCUAUUACAAAGCGAAAGAUCUUUUAGCGGAAGGAAAUGGAAAGUUCUGCGAGACAAGGUGAAAGCCCUGUACGCGAAAAAAGAUGUUAGCGAGAUAGGCACCUGAGUAGGGCCGGCCACGUGGAAUCCGGUCUGAAUCUGGGGGGACCACCCUCCAAGGCUAAAUACUCAUUGAUGACCGAUAGUGAACAAGUACCGCGAGGGAAAGGUGAAAAGAACCCCUGUUAGGGGAGUGAAAUAGAAUCUGAAAUCAGCAGCUUACAAACGGUCGAAGGCCUAUGCCAUCUUUUAGAUGGAACGGCUGACGGCGUGCCUUUUGCAUGAUGAGCCAGCGAGUUAAGUUAUAGGGCAAGGUUAAGGGACAUAUGCGUUCCGGAGCCGGAGCGAAAGCGAGUGUGAAUAGCGCGUUAAGUCGUAUAACUUAGACACGAAACCAAGUGAUCUAUCCAUGGCCAGGAUGAAGCAAGGGUAACACCUUGUGGAGGUCCGAACUAGUGUCUGUUGAAAAAGCCUUGGAUGAGCUGUGGAUAGGGGUGAAAGGUCAAUCAAACUUGGAGAUAUCUUGUACUCUUCGAAAUAACUUUAGGGUUAACCUCAGUAACAAGCAAUUUGGGGGUAGAGCACUGGAUCCACGAGGGAGACUAACGUCUUACCGAAGGGAACCAAACUCCGAAUACCAAAUUGAAUACUGGGAGCUAGACUGCGGGGGAUAAGCUUCGUAGUCAAAAGGGGAACAGCCCAGAUCGUCGAUUAAGGCCCCUAAUUCUAUGCUAAGUGAGUAAGGAAGUGAAGUUUCAAAGACAGUUGGGAUGUUGGCUUAGAGGCAGCCAUCAUUUAAAGAGUGCGUAACAGCUCACCAAUCGAGAGACUUUGCGCCGAUAAUAAACGGGACUAAAGCAUAGAGCCGAAAUCACGGGUGCAAGCGUAAGCUUGCGCGGUAGGAGAGCGUAGUAUGUGCAUAGAAGAUAUACCGUGAGGAGUAUUGGAGCGCAUACUAGUGAGUAUGCAUGGCAUGAGUAAACGAUAAAGGAAGUGAAAAUCUUCCUCGCCGAAAACCUAAGGUUUCCAGGAUCAAGCUCGUCUUACCUGGGUUAGCCGGACCCUAAGCCGAGGCUGAAAAGCGUAGGCGAUGGGAAGCAGGUUAAAUAUUCCUGCGCCACCGUAGACGUAUACGAUGGGGUGACGAAGUAAGUUAAGCACGCGGACGAUUGGAAAUGUCCGUUUCGACACGCGGUUGGUAAGUAGGUAAAUCCGCUUACGAAAUACCGGAUGUUGGACAAAGGGAAUCCUUCGGGAGGAACUGAUGGUGUAGCGCGAUACUUCCAAGAAAUAGCCUCUAGUUGUCACAGGUGACCGUACCAAAACCGACACAGGUGGGUGUGAAGAAUAUUCUCAGGCGCGCGAGAGAACUCUCGUUAAGGAACUCUGCAAAUUAUCCUCGUAACUUCGGGAAAAGAGGAGCCGCGGUUCGUGAUUAUCUUCGCGAUGAAAGCGAAAAGCGGCCGAAGAGAAAUGGCCCAGGCGACUGUUUAACAAAAACACAGCACUCUGCCAAGUCGUCUAAGACGAUGUAUAGGGUGUGAUGCCUGCCCAAUGCCAAAAGGUCAAAAGGAGAUGUCAGCCGCAAGGUGAAGCAUUGAAUUUAAGCCCUGGUGAAUGGCGGCCGUAACUAUAACGGUCCUAAGGUAGCGAAAUUCCUUGUCGGGUAAGUUCCGACCUGCACGAAU